UACAGAGGUCUCAAGCGUUGUUCGGAUUCAUUGGGCGUAAAGGGUGCGUAGGCGGCGCGGUAAGUCGGGUGUGAAAUCUCGGGGCUUAACUCCGAAACUGCAUUCGAUACUGCCGUGCUUUGAGGACUGGAGAGGAGACUGGAAUUUACGGUGUAGCGGUGAAAUGCGUAGAUAUCGUAAGGAAGACCAGUGGCGAAGGCGGGUUGCUGGGCUGACACUGACGCUGAUGCGCGAAAGCCAGGGGAGCGAACGGG
rnacentral:rRNA from 1 species